UCGGGUGAGGUUUCUGAUGCU
rnacentral:miRNA from 1 species